AUGACAACAGUUCCUUGCAAUCAUCAUGUUUCUGCCAUACACAAGGCUAAGCUUCAGCCAGAGGACUUUGUUCAUGAUUUCUUCAAAAAAAAGAUGUACCUGGCAGCUUACAGUCCCAUUAUAUAUCCUGUAUCUGGACCUGAUAUGUGGCCAGGGACAGACAGUAUGGACAUUGAGGCUCCAGUUUUCAAAGAACACAAGGGAAGGGCACAGACUAAGAGGAGAAAGGGCCAAUAUGAGAAGCCAGCUCCCAAAGACACCUCAAGAAUGGCCUCAAUUACCUGCUAUAAUUGCAAAAAGGUUGGCCAUAGAUACACCAAUUGUAAUGUUGCUUUGAAUCCAUCACUGGCAAUGAGAAAGUACAUGCAUGAGCCAAGCAGCAGCUCCUAUGAACUUGAUGUAGCCACACCAGCAAGGAGGGCCUCUUCUGCUGCUGCUGCUGGUGCUGCUGCUACUGCACCAUCACCAGCACAGAGGGCAUCUUCUGCUGCUGGUGCUGCUGCUACUACACCAUCACCAGCAUAG
rnacentral:rRNA from 1 species